AUGCGGCUUAAUCUCAUGAAACAAGGAGGAGUGCCACUGCCAUGCCAUCCCGCAGCGCGGCCGCCAAGAAGAAGGCGGCGGAGGUGCUCCCGAGCAACAAGAGGAAGAGGGCCAUUGUAUCUGUUUGAUGACAUGAUACUGGAGCUUCUACUCCGGCUCCCGGUCAAAUCCAUUGUGCGUUUCCGCUCCGUCUGCCGCUCCUGGGCCGCAAUGUUGCCCUCCAAGGAUUUCUGCAGCCUCCACAUGGCCACCUCUAAGAUGCUGCCCCGCGCCCCCAAUCUACUGGUGCCCUCGCCCGCACCAACAUUUGGCUCCGUUGCAGUGUACGCCUGCUCUCCGUCAAGCCCCGUAGACGAUUUACUCUUCACCUUCGACUGCGCCCGCCGCAACUCCGUUGAAAUGGUGACGCCUUCGCCAUGCUGCGGGCUCACGCUCCUGUAUGACGCCGCGGCGCCGGCUUACUAUGUUUGCAAUGCGGCUACAAGGGUGAUCACACGCCUGCCACCGCACCGUGUUCCCACAUACGAUUCCAGUGCCGGGCUGGGAUUUGACGCCGGGACAAGGGAGUACAAGGUCGUGAGGUUGAUCAAUGGGCUUUCCGAUGAGAAGGAGACGAUCAGCUGUGAUGUGUGCGCACCCGGAGCCGAUCGCUGGAGGCCGGCGACUGGAGGAGUGCCCUUCAAAUGGUCCCAGUUUACAAAUUCUGCAGUUCAACAUGCGGCGGUGAACAAAAUACCGCCUGCGUUCGCGAACGGAUUCCUGCACUGGUUGAUCAAUCCUUCACUUAUCAUCAGAAGGCUAAGAGCUGCUAUCGUAUCCUUUUCAGUCGCAGAGGAGACCUUCGGAUGUGUCCGUUCACCGCCGUUCUGGGGACCAAGAGAACAUCCGCGCUCCUGGUCCCAGUCAGAAGGAGAGCACCUGGUUGUGAUGGACGACCAGCUGUGCAUUGUCCGGGACCUUCGCGACGGAAUCCCUCAUGGCGGCACCUUGGAGAUUUGGGGACUGCUGGAUUAUGGCUCCGGUGAUUGGUCGCUGAAUCAUCGAAUCGAUUUGUCGGGCAGUUGCAAGUCGGGGAAGAAGAUUGUGAUUGCUACUAGCAAGCACGUGGUUCACGACAAGUUUCAGAAAAAGGUUUACUCAUAUGAUCCUAGCCGUCGAGUUCUAGAGGGCAUUCUUCCGGUCACCGAGACACACGCCUUUUUUAUGGGCUUCAUCCCUGGUUCAAGAUUCAGCUUACAUGAAGAGAGCCUUGCUCCAGUGCAUAAAACUCAUCAAGACCUGGCAUUCAAAAAUGUGCUAAAGAAACUACGGCUCCAUGCUAAAAGGCUAAUAGACGAAGAGUCACUGUUGUUGAAAUCUUCUGUAACUGAAGGACUUUAA
rnacentral:rRNA from 1 species